rnacentral:lncRNA from 1 species
GCCUGUCUGAAAUUUAACCCACCACUUACUGUAUAAAGAGAUCAAAUGAGAGAUAGAUAGAGAGACAGAGAGAGAGAAUGAGAGAGAGAGCAAGAGAGAAGAAUUGGGAUUGAGGGGGGGCAUACAUCUGCAAUUUCAAGAUACGUGUUUGAUGUUUUACUUUUUCCUGUGCUGCACUCUGUAUACUCUGUUUAAACCUCAUCUCCUCACCUAAAGACAAGUGUGACAUUUGAAGGGAAGCUUAGAGAAAUAAAGCCAACGAGACUUCCCUUUGUCCCUACAGUAGGUCUUGUUUCCACUGUGUCCUGACCGGCCUCUGGUCCUCCCAGCUGUGUUGGGUCCCCGUCCCUCAGAGUCAGACAGCUGGCCCGGGGUGAGGUCACUGUGCUGGAGCCAUGGGACAGCGGAUCCUCCCCUCUCGGUGACACCUGUCUGGAGGAGCUCCAGAGUGAUGCACCCUGGGACCCUCGGUCCCAGCCAGAGGCUCCAUCCUCCAUCCUCCACAUAGUCAUUCCUUUACAUCUCUGUUUCCGCCUGAUGACAACUCUACCUUCCUUCAUCACGCCUGAGGGACCUUGGACCUUCUCCUCCAAUAUGGUUGAGAAAGAUGCAAGGAGACAGGAUGCGAGGAAUCGAGGAAAGAAGAAUUGAGAUAGAGCCUCUGUGUGAACCAGAGGACUGUCUUUGGAACACACUCUAAAGGCAGAGUAACCAGGGGAACCAUAGAGGGAGCAGACACCGUGAGUCUUAAGGGUGUGUUUCCAUGUGUCC